GACCAAAUCCUUUGUGAUCCAAAAUAUAAUCAUAAUGAGGACCAAUGCCACUGUGAUGAUGAGAUCAUGAACUUUUCACCUUUGCACAAGUUUGUGGGAGCAAUAGCACAUCGUCUAUAUAGUCCUUUAUUACAGAAACUUGUUAAUGAAUAAAUGAUGCAGAAAUGCAAGUAAAUCACUACUUAACUAAAAAGAUCUGCUACAGCGAACACAAUAAUUCAUCCUCUUAAACCCCUGAAUGCUACUCAGUUUCUCACACAAGUUUGACACCAAAUAAAAUGAGGAAACAGAAAUGGAAUCACGAUAAGGAAAAAUAAAGAGUAUAAACAUGAGGCAUGG
rnacentral:misc_RNA from 1 species